UACGAAGGGGGCUAGCGUUGUUCGGAAUUACUGGGCGUAAAGGGCGCGUAGGCGGUUGUCCAAGUCAGGUGUGAAAGCCCAGGGCUCAACCCUGGAUGUGCACUUGAGACUGGGCGGCUUGGGUUCGGGAGAGGAUGGUGGAAUUCCCAGUGUAGAGGUGAAAUUCGUAGAUAUUGGGAAGAACACCGGUGGCGAAGGCGGCCAUCUGGACCGAUACCGACGCUGAGGCGCGAAAGCGUGGGGAGCAAACAGG
rnacentral:rRNA from 1 species